GCACGGGUUUGAUUUCUGAUAGGCCUGUACUUCUGGGCCUGUCAUAGUGCCCCGUGCCAGAGCAAAUUGGCCCCGAACCAUGGCCAGGCCUCUCUACCCAUAGGUUGCUGGCACUGAAGUGGGUCGUACAGUG
ensembl:snoRNA